GCGGCGUGCUUAACACAUGCAAGUCGAACGGAUUUUACAGGAAGCCUAGCGAUUGUAAAGUUAGUGGCGGACGGGUGAGUAACGCGUGAAUAACCUGCCUUAUACUGUUGGGACAACAGUUGGAAACGACUGCUAAUACCGCAUAAGCGCACAGCUUCGCAUGAAGCAGUGUGAAAAACUCCGGUGGUAUAAGAUGGAUUCGCGUCUGAUUAGCUAGUUGGUGAGGUAACGGCUCACCAAGGCGACGAUCAGUAGCCGGCCUGAGAGGGUGAACGGUCACAUUGGGACUGAGACACGGCCCAAACUCCUACGGGAGGCAGCAGUGGGGAAUAUUGCACAAUGGGGGAAACCCUGAUGCAGCGAUGCCGCGUGAGGGAAGAAGGUUUUAGGAUUGUAAACCUCUGUCUUUGGGGACGAUAAUGACGGUACCCAAGGAGGAAGCUCCGGCUAACUACGUGCCAGCAGCCGCGGUAAUACGUAGGGAGCGAGCGUUGUCCGGAAUUACUGGGUGUAAAGGGAGUGUAGGCGGGAUUGCAAGUCAGAUGUGAAAACUAUGGGCCUUAACCCCAUAGACUGCAUUUGAAACUGUUAUUCUUGAGUGAAGUAGAAGGAAGCGGAAUUCCUAGUGUAGCGGUGAAAUGCGUAGAUAUUAGGAGGAACAUCAGUGGCGAAGGCGGCUUACUGGGCUUUUUACUGACGCUGAGGCUCGAAAGCGUGGGGAGCAAACAGGAUUAGAUACCCUGGUAGUCCACGCCGUAAACGAUGAUUACUAGGUGUGGGGGGAUUGAACCCUUCCGUGCCGCAGUUAACACAAUAAGUAAUCCACCUGGGGAGUACGACCGCAAGGUUGAAACUCAAAGGAAUUGACGGGGGCCCGCACAAGCAGUGGAGUAUGUGGAUUAAUUCGAAGCAACGCGAAGAACCUUACCAGGUCUUGACAUCGUACGCAUAGCAUAGAGAUAUGUGAAAUCCCUUCGGGGACGUAUAGACAGGUGGUGCAUGGUUGUCGUCAGCUCGUGUCGUGAGAUGUUGGGUUAAGUCCCGCAACGAGCGCAACCCUUACUGUUAGUUGCUACGCAAGAGCACUCUAGCAGGACUGCCGUUGACAAAACGGAGGAAGGUGGGGAUGACGUCAAAUCAUCAUGCCCCUUAUGACCUGGGCCUCACACGUACUACAAUGGCUAUUAACAGAGGGAAGCAAAGCGGUGACGCAGAGCAAAUCCCCAAAAAUAGUCUUAGUUCGGAUUGUAGGCUGCAACUCGCCUACAUGAAGUCGGAAUUGCUAGUAAUCGCAAAUCAGCAUGCUGCGGUGAAUACGUUCCCGGGC
rnacentral:rRNA from 1 species